rnacentral:rRNA from 1 species
UACGGGGGGGAGCAAGCGUUGUUCGGAUUUACUGGGCGUAAAGGGCGCGUAGGCGGCCAGCACAAGUCAGUUGUGAAAUCUCCGGGCUUAACUCGGAAAGGUCAACUGAUACUGUGCGGCUAGAGUGCAGAAGGGGCAACUGGGAAUUCUCGGUGUAGCGGUGAAAUGCGUAGAUAAUCGAGAGGAACACCUGCGGCGAAGGCGGGUUGCUGGGCUGACACGUGACGCUGGAUGCGCGAAAGCCAGGGGAGCGAACGGG